GAUCUGUUUGCACAAGCCUCUGAGAGGGAUGAAGAUAUUGUUUUCUUUGAUCAGAUUAUGCCGGUAAAGGUUUUCUGGUUUACCCUAUAG
rnacentral:misc_RNA from 1 species